rnacentral:lncRNA from 1 species
GGAAAGUAAUUUGCAUUGAGGCAAAGGUAUUCAACAGUAUUUUCUUCCCUUUGCAGGUCGUGGUAAGAUAAUCAAAGGGCACGAUCAACAGCUCAUAUAUUGCCUUGCUGUGGACUCAGAGCGCAAGGACAGACGAAGACCAGACACUGACUUUACAUUUUUGAUAGGUCGCGCCUUGCUAAAAUAAUAAGAGUGUGAUCAACAGCUCCUACGUUGCCUUGGUGUGGAGCCAGCAUUGAGGCAUAGACAAAGAACAGACACUGAUUUCACACUUCUCGAGCAGCCCCCAAAGGAGGAGACACCUCUUUUCACAAAAUUCCUGUGGACCACUUGGAAGACUCUUGGGCCUCCAUGGGCCAUUUUUUCACCUGCAAAGUACGGAGGGAGAGGCCAUGCUCCAGAGGGUGGAUGGCAUUUCUGCAGCAACAGUGCCAUUGAAGAGGAAAGGUUAAAAUUUUACAUAACCUCCUACUCCUGCCUCUGUAACUCAGCUUGCUCCUUGCAAAGUCUGGAUCACAUAGGUCUCAGAAAGUGGGGACUCACAGUACUAGGAACUGAAGCUUAUCUCACUCACCCUUGUCCUGCUGUUUGCAAUCACCCAGCCCCUGCAAACCCACAAACCCGCUUAAUCAUGCCUGUCCAUGUAUACGAACUCUGUAACCCCUUUGUUUGGGGCUCAGAGCUUGGAAUGUUAACUCCUCUGGGUCCACCGGCAUAAUAAACCUGAGUUCUCCAACUCUGCAAGUGUGGUGCUUGGUUUUUUGAGUACUUGUUUCUGCAACACCAUCAAGCGGAAGAUUUUUGAGCCUGGCCUCCAGGCCCUGGCUGUGGAUCCUGC